UACAGAGGGUGCAAGCGUUGUUCGGAAUUAUUGGGCGUAAAGGGCGCGUAGGCGGUGCUGAUGAAGUACUUGUGGUGAAAUCAUCUGGCUCAACUCAGAGUCUGCCAUUAGAAACGUGCAGGUGCUGGAGGUGAUUGGGAGAGGUGAGUGGAAAUUCCCGGUGUAGCGGUAGAAAUGCGGAUAGAGUAUCGGGAAGGGAACGACCUGUGGCGGAAAAGCGGCUCCACUGGA
rnacentral:rRNA from 1 species